rnacentral:lncRNA from 1 species
UGCAGAUUGUUGCGUUGCAGCUUUCUGGUAAGCACUCUUAUACUAUGACAUUUUCAUGUCAAUGAUCAUUGUAUACUCUGUUCAAUUUUUCUGUACUCAGUGUUGUGAAUUAUCUAAUUUGUUCUUUGUAACAUGAUCACAGUGGUCCGAAUUGCCUCGAAUUGUGUCUUUGGACUGAGGUAUCGUAUUAAUAUAAUUGAUUUCGAUGUGAUAAAAUUUAUGAAUAAAUUAGCAAUGUGGUUUUCAUCAAUUUGAAAGAUGAAAUUCAGGCUUAGCUUUGCCCUUCUGCACUCUAUUACUACAUUUUCCUAGACGUAGACAUACAUGGAAUUUAGUUUUGUUUAUGUUUGGAUGCUUUCUUUAUUGUUUUCAGAUUUAAUUUCUGAUUUUUUUAUCUGUGUAUUUUAGGUUCGAUUGUUAGCCUUGAAUCUGUUUCAAUUUAUUUAAUUGAGUUGUCUUGAAUCUGUAUUUUUGGCAUGAAUCUACUUAACUUGUUGUUGAUUAAAUGCAUUCAUUCUUUUAUUUGUUUUCUCCCUUUUUUCCUUAUGUAGCAUGUUUGUGUUAGUAUCUUAUUGAUGAAUGAAUGCUAAUAUUUGGGUUAAUUAGUUUUUUUAUUGAAUAAUUAUUUAUUGAUUGAAUGACUGGUCUAUAUUUGUUUUUCAAAGGUUUAGAUUCUGUCAUUUUGUGCUGAACUAAUCAUUUCCUGCUCUGAUAUUCUAUAGUUGUGAUAUUUGAUCAGGAUGCAGGUUUGACACUUUGUCGAAUUGGAACAAUGAUGAUGGAGAAGCCAUGGGAGCUGCAAAACAUGUUUUGUUUGCAGCUCCCUUAACUGAUACAAGUGAAUAUAUUUGGUGCUUUACGUUUUUUUUUUUUUUGGUCAUGGGUUGUAAAAUUUAAUUUCGUAGUUUUAUGAUGAUUGUGAAAUUUAAUUUGAUAGUUUAGAUACUUUUAAAAAAAAAAAAAAAAAACAGGUUAUAGUUGAAUUUACAUAAUUUGGGCAAGGAAAACCUUUAAUUGAUGGGCUGCUUGAAAAACUGGUAUUGUUAAAAAAAAUAAACAAUAUUGGGCUUUUGGAAAGAAAAAAAAAAAGAUUUUGGGCUCAACCCAGAACCGACCAAAAAACCAGAACCGAACCUUGUAUGUUCGGGUCGGCCCAACUUCGGGUUUCAUUUUAGACCCGAUCCAACCCGAGAACCGCAGUACUGGUCGGUUCGGCCCACGGGUCAGUCAAAAUUUGACCCGACCCGAACCGUGCCCAGGCCUAGA